UGGGCAAUGGAUGAUACUCACCUUUAGUGG
rnacentral:piRNA from 1 species